GAUAACUCGUUCAAUUAAGCCGACGACGUUUAACGGUUCUAGGAUGUUGAUACAGUCAUUUUGUCGCUUCUGACUUUAAUACUAGGAUGAAGGUUCUCAUUGUCCUUUUGUUCUGUUCGGGAAUUCUUAGACUGUCACUCGUUUUGUCUAUUGUGUCUUUGCAUUUUUGGACACUCUCCAUACAGACCUGAUUUGGUAUCAAGUGUUUUUAACUUAUUCCCGAA